rnacentral:lncRNA from 1 species
GUCUGAGGAGUUUUGUCUGCGACUCGUCCUGCUACAUUUCUUGGUUCCCUGACCGGGAAGCGACGUGAUUAAUGGAUGGUCGAGGCAGCCACUUAGGCCGCUUAGGCCUGCCCUGUGGAACAUCCCUGCGGGGGACUCGGACCAGCUCGAGCGAUGCGGAUCCUGAGAGCGCUCCUGGGUAGGCAAUUGCCUGGGUGGAACACCUCGUCAGAGCAGUGUGUGGCAGGCCCCUGCGGAGGAUCAACGUGGUGGCUGAACACCGGGAAGGAACUGGCACUUUAAGUCUGGACGUCUGAAACUUGUGGGCUGCCUGCUAAGAAAGAGUAGACAGACCCAAUGUCCUCAAAUCAGUUUGGAUUCAGUUCAACCUUCCUCUGGUACAGAAGAGCUGGGUCAGUCAUUCUCUCUGUGAUCUAAUGAUAAGAGUCCUGGAUGGGGAAUUCCAAGGCCAUGGGUCUAUUCCCAGCCUUGCUACUAAGAAUGUGACCUCCAGCAGUUAUAUCCCCUGCCUGCAGCACGUGCUGAUCUCCAAGGGUGAGGCUGGAUGAAGCCAGGGGCUAUGGAAAAGGAGACUG